UAAUAUAAAAGUUAUAGGCUUAGAUAAUGAUAUUGGAGACUUUCAGGGGCAAUAACUAUGCUUAAGGGUUUUUGUAUCCCUUUGAUUAUUUUUUCUUUGCAAGAGGGUUUUACUGUGAAUUCAUUAGCGAAGGUUUCGUGUCUCUAUGACUUUCCGUUAAGUAAGAGUAGCGAUAACAAGGUUUUCGACGCGAGUCUCCGAAAUUCACAGAAGGGUCAGAGUUCAAAGUUGUAAUGCAUACUAUCAAAACCAAUCAUGAAGUCAAUACUUACCCAUAUAAUAUUUCAACGCUAUCUUAAGCAGGAAAGAGAGUAUAAAAAGUGCUAUUUUUUCCUCUUUUCUGAUGACCUUGACCUUUGACCUUGACCUAAUUUUCUAGGUCAAAGGUCACCGAUCCUAUUCCAGUUGGUCUCAUCUUUCUACGACAAACCGUGCUCAAGCUCGACAUGUUUUACGAAUAAAUCACAAAACAUAAAGAGGCAUUAACUCCCCUUAAGGGACACCGAAUCCCUUCAUUUGAAAUUCUUCGCUUCUACUAAUUACCCUCUAUGUUUUAGAAAAGGUUUCAUCCUCCUAUCAUUUACGGUUACAAAGUAGAAGUGCUAACAAUGAUUUCUGCGAAAGGUCAAAUAACUCCGUAAGGGGUCAAAGUUCAAUUACGCAGGGUGAACUGUAUUCGUUUCUCAAGAAGUACUAUAUGAUGGACUAUAAAGUUUUUCGAUAAGUCUUUAGACGAAAAUUUUUUUUGACGGCAGGAAAAUAAUAAUAACUAGUGAUCCUAAUUGUUCGCGAACAAUUAGAGGGCUUCCCACCUUCUAGCGGUUUUUCAGUAGUGUUGAAAUGCUAAAAGCCCCCCCCCCCCUACCCCAUCCCACCCUCACCCAAACAAAAAAAAAAAAAAAAAAAAAAAAAAAAAUUGAUUUGGCUAGAAAAGAAAUUCAAAUUUGCCGCCUAAAUUUGAGUGUUGAGGUGUGUUCAAUGCUUGGUUUCGCAUUAAGUACCCGUCAAAUUUGAGGGAGAAAAGGGGUGUGGGUGUUGGGUAGCCAGCACAUAUGCACAUAUCAGGUAAAAGUGUAAUGGGACUUGUGCAGGUGUUUGGGGUGACUUUAGACCUGUUAGAUGUGAUAUUUGGAGGUGCAAAGAAACCGGAUGUGCCAUUUUCCUAGAUUGUAGUAACUGCUGGUGCAUGCUGGGAGUCUAUACAAGCCUCAUGUUGUCAGAUGUUGUGAAGAUGCACUGGAUUUGACCGCGUGUGUUGUGGAUUGUGGAAUUGAAUAUACAGUUUGUAAUGGCUCAUCCUAUGUGUUCUAAUUCACGGAGACAAUGUCUUUCAGUCAUUUCACCCAAGGAGGCAUGCAUAUACGGAUUGAUAGGCUUUGACAACAAACAACCAAAAUGGCGGCCGGUGAAUUAGAAAGUGUCUGAGUGCAUGUAGGAUAUCUGAACGGAGAAUAGGAGUACUGCAUCCCAUCUGAUCCUGCAGUCAUUUCACCCAAGGAGGCAUGCAUAUACGGAUUUAUAGGCUUUGACAACAAACAACCAAAAUGGCGGCCGGUGAAUUAGAAAGUGUCUGAGUGCAUGUAGGAUAUCUGAACGGAGAAUAGGAGUACUGCAUCCCAUCUGAUCCUGCAGGUAAGUGUUUAUUUGUUUACAAUGACAGUCAGGAUGGAAUGUCAAUGAGUUCAACUGUCAAGUAAAGUUGCAUCAUCAUUAUAAAAAAAAAAAACUUAGUCUUUAUGUUGAUGCAGGCAGACAAUUGAAUCUGGCCUAUGUCUUUUCAUGAAUGUAAAUGGAAUUCAUGUUUGAUUGACAAGACAGUCAAGAAAUGGAAGAAGUGGGUGUAGGUCAGAUGUGUAGGUGUAGGUCAGAUUAGCUAGAAUCCUGUAAUUGUUGCAUGGCAUGAGACCGGUCAAAAUAGUGUAUUGAAACAGCUGAUCACAAUCAGAUCACUUGAAGGGUGGGGGAUUUCUUCCUUGGGGACGACAGGCGUGAUGGGUGGGUUGGCCUUACUCGUGGAGACUGGCCCCUGGAUGCGUGACCUUGACCUUUGACCUUGACCCACUUUCAAGGUCAAACCUCAAAAAUCCUGUUGUUGGGCAUGAAACCAGUCAAAAUAGUGUAUUAUAAACAGCUGAUCACAGACAGAUCACUUGAAGGGUGGGGGAUUUCUUCCUUGGGGACGACAGGCGUGAUGGGUGGGUUGGCCUUACUCGUGGAGACUGGCCCCUGGAUGCUUGACCUUGACCUUUGACCUUGACCCACUUUCAAGGUCAAACCUCAAAAACACAUGGGGGAGAAAGUGUGACCUUGACCUUUGACCUUGACCUCAUUUUGAAGGUCAGAGAGGUCACGGGGCUUCGUUUAAGUGGUCCCGCAUCCCUAUCUACAUCCGUGAAGAAGUUGUGGGCUCGAACGACGACGUCGGAGACUUUCGGGGGCGAGAACCGUGCUUCGGGGUUCUCGGUUUCCCUCGGUCAACUUUUCUGUGCGAGAGCGUUUCAUCUGGAAUUCGUCGGCGAAGGUCUCGCCUCUCCACGACUUGCGGUCUAGUGAGAGUAGCGAUAACGGGGUUUUCGACGUUAAGUCGCUGCCAUUCGCAGAGUGGUCAAAGUUCAGAGUUGACAUUCGUGAUGCCGAGACCGGUCCAAAAUUCCUUGCUGACCCAUGUGAUAUUUCGAUGCUAUCUGAAGCGUGAAAGAGCGUAUAAAAAGUGCCAUUUUCUGGCCAUUCUGGAUGACUUUGACCUUGACCUACUUUUUCAAGGUCAAGGUCACCCAACCCGUCCCAGUGGGUUCCGUCUCUCUACGACGAAGACUUUAGGAGUCGUCAAUUUGUAGGGGACAAAUCGCAAAACAUGAGGGGGCAUUAACUCCCUUUAGGGGACACCGAAUCCCUUCAUUUGAAAUUCUUCGCUUCUACUAAUUACCCUCUGUGUUUUAGAAAAGGUUUCAUCCUCCUAUCAUUUACGGUUACAAAGUAGAAGUGCUAACAAUGAUUUCUGCGAAAGGUCAAAUAACUCCGUAAGGGGUCAAAGUUCAAUUACGCAGGGUGAACUGUAUUCGUUUCUCAAGAAGUACUAUAUGAUGGACUAUAAAGUUUUUCGAUAAGUCUUAAGACGAAGAUUUUUUUUGACGGCAGGAAAAUAAUAAUAAUAAUAAUAAUAAUAAUAAACAGAACAAUAACAAUAGGACUUUCCACUGAAAGGUGGAAAGCCCUAAUAAUAAUAACUAGUGAUCCUAAUUGUUCGCGAACAAUUAGAGGGCUUCCCACCUUCUAGCGGUUUUUCAGUAGUGUUGAAAUGCUAAAAGCCCCCCCCCCCCCACCCCACCCCACCCUCACCAAAAAAAAAAAAUUGAUUUGGCUAGAAAAGAAAUUCAAAUUUGCCGCCUAAAUUUGAGUGUUGAGGUGUGUUCAAUGCUUGGUUUCGCAUUAAGUACCCGUCAAAUUUGAGGGAGAAAAGGGGUGUGGGUGUUGGGUAGCCAGCACAUAUGCACAUAUCAGGUAAAAGUGUAAUGGGACUUGUGCAGGUGUUUGGGGUGACUUUAGACCUGUUAGAUGUGAUAUUUGGAGGUGCAAAGAAACCGGAUGUGCCAUUUUCCUAGACUGUAGUAACUGCUGGUGCAUGCUGGGAGUCUAUACAAGCCUCAUGUUGUCAGAUGUUGUGAAGAUGCACUGGAUUUGACCGUGUGUGUUGUGGAUUGUGGAAUUGAAUAUACAGUUUGUAAUGGCUCAUCCUAUGUGUUCUAAUUCACGGAGACAAUGUCUUUCAGUCAUUUCACCCAAGGAGGCAUGCAUAUACGGAUUUAUAGGCUUUGACAACAAACAACCAAAAUGGCGCCGGUGAAUUAGAAAGUGUCUGAGUGCAUGUAGGAUAUCUGAACGGAGAAUAGGAGUACUGCAUCCCAUCUGAUCCUGCAGGUAAGUGUUUAUUUGUUUACAAUGACAGUCAGGAUGGAAUGUCAAUGAGUUCAACUGUCAAGUAAAGUUGCAUCAUCAUUAUAAAAAAAAAACUUAGUCUUUAUGUUGAUGCAGGCAGACAAUUGAAUCUGGCCUAUGUUUUUUCAUGAAUGUAAAUGGAAUUCAUGUUUGAUUGACAAGACAGUCAAGAAAUGGAAGAAGUGGGUGUAGGUCAGAUGUGUAGGUGUAGGUCAGAUUAGCUAGAAUCCUGUAAUUGUUGCAUGGCAUGAGACCGGUCAAAAUAGUGUAUUGAAACAGCUGAUCACAAUCAGAUCACUUGAAGGGUGGGGGAUUUCUUCCUUGGGGACGACAGGCGUGAUGGGUGGGUUGGCCUUACUCGUGGAGACUGGCCCCUGGAUGCAUGACCUUGACCUUUGACCU